GCAAAGAAUGAAGUGGUUGAAGCUUCAAUGGCCAUUCUAUUGUGAUAAGGAAUACCAAAAUUUUCCCCUUGAUAUGGUUAUGGACAUACGAUAUUGCACUCGUAAGUUAUACAUGGUUAUGGAGUGUACUAGGAAGGUAUUUGAGUGGACCAUUAAUUGCUUAAACUAUAUAUAUAUAUUUUUUUCUUGUUUGUAUCAUGUUGCUGCAUUUCAGGGAAGUUAUCAUACCCAUUUCAUCAGAUGUCUUGCAACUUUUUGCUUUGAUAUUGUAUUUUGGUAUUGGUUGGCAAAAUUCUCUCAUUCAUGUUGAAUUUUGUGAUACCUAAGUGGUAAAACUUAGCAGCUAUAAGUGGAAUUGUUGUGGAGGCGGCUGCAAUUCUGUGAAUAAAAUCCUUCGAUUUAAGAGUUCAAAA
rnacentral:misc_RNA from 1 species